rnacentral:tRNA from 1 species
GCCUGGGUGGCUCAGUUGGUUGAGCAUCUGACUCUUGUUUCAGCUCAGGCCUUGAUCGCAGGGUCAUGGGAUCGAGUCCCAUGUCAGGCU